GGCGGUUAACGGGGCUUCUGCCAACCCACCUUCUCCGACCAGAAAAACAUCCUCAUCACCAGUGCACAGCUCGUUGAUAGAGAUCAAUGUUUCAGGGGUGCAAAGGCAAGUCCCACCACACCAUUACGAGCAACCUUAGGACCGCGUUCCCCCGGGUAGACACGGGACGUUUCAGGGGCUCGAUAUACUGGUCCAAUAAGCAGGGUGCUAUUGAUGCAGGCGGUAAUGUAGCCCCUGCGUAGAACAGCUAUCUUGCUAAAACCCCAAGCACAUCCCCCAAUCAUGGACACCGGCAGUAAUGUUGUAGCACCCUCCCUCAUCCGACGCAUCUCACUCCCUGCACAUGUAGAGCCCCUGCGUAGAACAGCUAUCUGUGAUGAGGGGGAGUCCCUGGUAUAGAGGCCACACAUCCAAACUCGCUGUGCAGUGCUUCAUCGGUUAGGCAGCAUGUGCCGUUGUUGGACAUUCGGGGACUGCGGGACAGCGUUGUCAACAUCGUUGCGGGCCCUGUAAUGGGCCACAUCAUGCAGUAGGUUUCUUGUGGUUUGUGGUUUCCGAACCCGAGGUCAUUUUGAUGGGGUGUACAGCCUUGUUGAGGGUUGCGGGAAAUACAGGUAAAUGCACCGGUAAAUGCACAGGUAAAUGCACCGGUAAAUGCACCACAUUUACCAACAUUGCUUUAAAUAUCAUUAGAUAACCGAGAAAGAACCAAAAGAUGUCGGAAAGAAUUUGGGCAGAGGCCGAAGCUCGCCUGGCAAGCACUGCGCUGAAGGGAUAGAGAGAGACACUAAUAAGAAGUGUACAACGAGGCCUCAAUAGGCUUUGGGGUCAGUAGAUCGCUGACGCCCUUGCGCUCAGGCAUCAAGUCCCGGACAUGGGCCUUAAGACCUGGAGUUGCUGGGCUAUUCCCUCUCGCCCCUCCCCGCUCUGACCACUAUCCCUCUCUCCAGUUCCCUCUCAGUUCGGGUGGUGCAACGCCAGGCCCCUCGCCACACACACCGCACCGCACCCACGUUUGUUAGGCGCUAGCACGCGGUUGUCUAGAGGUGUAGUAGUUCCUAGGUCUAUGUUGAUGUGGUUUGGUCCCGUUGCUGAUGCAACUGGCUUUCGCAUCAUUAACCGCCGAGUAGCAGCCGUAGCUACCGGUGCGAAAACGAUGCAUGCUCACCAACCUAAAUGAUGAAGGGUGUGUG
rnacentral:lncRNA from 1 species